CACACCUCUUUGAAUGCCUGGACUCUUAUAGAAGCAUUAUUUCGGGGUCUCUUUAAAAAUCCAGCGCCCAUCUCUGUGCUUCCCUCCCUUCCUCCCUCCCUCCCUCCUCACUACGCCACCCCCAGCGAAAUCCUGGCACCCAGAGAGCACUCGUUUUCAACCAGAGCCCAGAAACAGCCGUUGUCCCCUGGCAAAAGAGGCCCAGUGCUGAGCCCUGGGCAAGUGUCUCCAGACAUCCCUACCUUUCUCUCCCUUUAUUAAGUCUUCUUUCCCAACAGAACCCAUUUCCUUUGCCACUAAAACUAGGUUGCAUCCAAAAGUUUCUCACAAGCUUAAAAAAGAAAAAUUGACACCAUUAUGCAGAAGAAUUCACAAAAGCUGCAGAGCGCCAGGGCAGAGAAGCAGCGUCAGACACAGGCCCAGGACACACAGGACGGAUGUUUCCAAGUCACUCCAGGGACAGCAUGAGGCUCUCGCUGGCCUGUGUCUCAGAAGCUGCUUUCUCCACCUCUUCCUUGUGAAUUUCCUAAACUCUCUACCUCUGGUUCAUGUUCGCUCUUCUGGAUAGUCUGUGUGCAAUGAGCCCUUAAAGGAAUAUUGCAAUGAGCUAUAAGAGUUGUGAGCCUGCGGUAGGCAAGGCCUGCACUGGGACAGCAAAGGAAAUUUCAUUGCAUCUGCUCCUAGGUCACAGGUUAUCCAGAGCCCACUUUACCCCAAGAGACAGCCUCUCCCCCAUCCCUAGGAAACAGUAGAGCUUAGGAAAAUGAAUGACUCCAC
ensembl:lncRNA